GUCUACAGCCAUACCACCCUGAACGUGCUCAAUCUUACCUGAUCUUGGAAGCUAAGCAGGGUCGGGCCUGGUUAGUACUUGGAUGGGAGACCACCUAGGAAUACCAGCUGCUGUAGGCA
rnacentral:rRNA from 1 species